GGGGGGGGUAGAGGGGUAAAUUUCGUUAAGUUCAAUAUCGUUCUCGCUAGAACGACCACAGGCGGUAGGAGAAUACCUAAUAUUGAAGUUAGUCCAGCGAUACAGUGUUUUUCCGACGACUGUGGAGUUCCUUGCUUGGAUUAGUUUUCUUACAGUUGUUACGGUCUUCGCGAAUCAAGGUCUAUUGUGAAUAACUGACAACUGUCUUGUGAAAAGGUAUCCUCGCGCGGGUCCACAACAAGGAUACCAAUUUCAACAAAUACGAUAUCUGUUUAUUUUAUUGGUGAAAUAAGAGUUUCGCUUACAAAGUGUAACACAUUGAUUCACAUGAACUACGUUUAAAUUUUAAAUGGUAGACUCAAAAGUGCACAAAAAUACUAUUUUCUUGCGCUACUUUACCUAAUGCAUUAGCAAGCAAUCACAAACAAUAGGAAUCACAAAUAAGACAAUACACAUAUUAACGCGAAAGCAUACGAUUAAUGUAAUGUAUAUACUCUAUAGUUGUUAACGAACCUAAGGCUGAGUUCAAACGUCGUCUUCACACCCUUCAUACUGAAGUUCUUCCAAAAUAACUGUUAAUUUAUUCCAAGAAAAACGUGAAUUUUCCAGGAAAAGUUAGAAGAACACUUAUUCGAUGGUGGAACUGCGGGCCACGCGUUUGCACAAUACGAAUGGCACCGUCUUAUUAAGCUAACUAUGAAAAAAUUCCAUUCCCAAACAACUUACGUAAAAAAUAAAGGGUGGUCUCUAGGUUCCUAUACCUGCUCAGACAUCGUCAAAGAAAAAAAUUUAAUCUCUGCGUUAAAUCCUUUCACAACAAUCAACAUUAUAUCUAAUAACACCCAACAGAGCUAAAUAAAAGGGAAGCUUCAAUAUAUGGUACUCAUCUUGUAACUUCUUUAGUAGCCUUAAAAUAGUUUUGAAUUUUGCCGACAAAAAUAUAUUCUUAGAAUCCUUGCCAGGUUCAUAUCUAGUACAGCAUACACCAUUAAUAUCAUAAAACAUCGAUCAAGAACGGUAAGACAUGCCCUUAUACAGCUUUUAUAAAGUAGGUUAUAAAAUAACCAUAGUGGGCUAAGUUAUUAGCUACUUGAUAAAGGCGCUGUUAUUCAUUGUCUUCAUGGUUUAUCUAAUAAAAGACACUCAUCAUAA